UCGGGUGUGGUGUACGGAACACGCUCCCUCUUCUUAAAUUGGGGAGAAGAAGUAGUGAAGGGAGAGACCCGGGUUCGAUUCCCGGUGCCCGAA